rnacentral:misc_RNA from 1 species
GCAUGCCUCAAAUUGCCUACUCUACUGUGGUAUUUAAAAAAUAAUAUGGUUGAACCAGAUCUUGUGCCCUGAAUCCAGUGACAACCCCGUCAUCAAUGUUAAACCAAAAUUGAUAGAUGUGCCAAAUCAUCAAUUUUACUGCAUAGCUCCUGACUUGCCUGUUGAAUCAUUAAUUGAGCAUACAGAAUUCCCAUCAAUCAAAAGCAGCCCAAACCAC